CCCUUAGAUGUUCUGGGCUGCACCCGUGCUACACUGGCAGGUUCAGCGAGCUUCAUGCCCUGAUCUGAAAGGAAUGGGAAAUCUUUUCAAAACCUGCCGUGCUUGGGAUAGAUGUUUGCAAUUAUUCAUCUUCAACGAGGAUUGCCUUGUAAGCGCACGUCAUCAGCGUGCAUUGAAUACGACCCUGUAUUCUGUACACACCGCCCGUCGCUCCUGCCGAUUGAAGUUUUCGGUGAGUUGACAGGAGGAUUUUUUUGAAACUGGUUCGCCAGUGGAUUUUAGAUCCAAAUGCCAACGAAUCGAUGGCUUUAGAGGAAGGAGAAGUCGUAACA
rnacentral:rRNA from 1 species